CCUACGGGAGGCAGCAGUGAGGAAUAUUGGUCAAUGGACGAGAGUCUGAACCAGCCAAGUAGCGUGAAGGAUGACUGCCCUAUGGGUUGUAAACUUCUUUUAUAUGGGAAUAAAACGUUCCACGUGUGGGAUUUUGUAUGUACCAUAUGAAUAAGGAUCGGCUAACUCCGUGCCAGCAGCCGCGGUAAUACGGAGGAUCCGAGCGUUAUCCGGAUUUAUUGGGUUUAAAGGGAGCGUAGGUGGAUUGUUAAGGCAGUUGUGAAAGUUUGCGGCUCAACCGUAAAAUUGCAGUUGAAACUGGCAGUCUUGAGUACAGUAGAGGUGGGCGGAAUUCGUGGUGUAGCGGUGAAAUGCUUAGAUAUCACGAAGAACUCCGAUUGCGAAGGCAGUUCACUGGACUGCAACUGACACUGAGGCUCGAAAGUGUGGGUAUCAAACAGGAUUAGAUACCCCUGUAGUC
rnacentral:rRNA from 1 species